rnacentral:misc_RNA from 1 species
GUGGAUUUAGUGCUGUUUAGAGAGAGUUUCUUUGAUCUGCCAUAUAUGUGUUAGUUUGGUUGGUAUUAAGUGCUGCAUGCAGGAUCAAUGGACUAGCAGUGAAGAUUUUUGCUGUUAUGAAGCCAAAAGUUUGGAUUGACGGAUUAAUAUGUUUUAGUGGGCGUGGCACCUCUCAGAUAAAUUUCCCAGUGCCGAUCUCCAUUGCACCCAAUCUCUCAAGACCAUAAGAGCUAAGAGAGCUCUGUCCGUUUCCCAUCAAUGUUAUUUUUGGUUCAAAUCUUUCUCUCGACCAUGGCUGUGUGCCUUGAUGCCCUUGAGGUCCUUUUUGGCAACUCGACUUCCUGGAAGAGUUUUCUAUCAAAAUCGUUGGAUAUUUCAAUUUCGGCAUUUGAUUUUCGUGUGGUUCAU